GCUGGGUGUGGUGGUGCACACCUGUAAUCCCAGUGUCUCUGGAGGCUAAGGCAGGAGGAUUGCAAGUUCAAAGCCAGCCUCAGCAACUUAGGGAAGCCCUAAGCAACUCAGUGAGACCCCGUCUCUA
rnacentral:sRNA from 1 species